rnacentral:rRNA from 1 species
AUUGAACGCUGGCGGCAGGCCUAACACAUGCAAGUCGAGCGGAUGAAGGGAGCUUGCUCCUGGAUUCAGCGGCGGACGGGUGAGUAAUGCCUAGGAAUCUGCCUGGUAGUUGGGGAUAACGUCCGGAAACGGGCGCUAAUACCGCAUACGUCCUGAGGGAGAAAGUGGGGGAUCUUCGGACCUCACGCUAUCUGAUGAGCCUAGGUCGGAUUAGCUAGUUGGUGGGGUAAAGGCCUACCAAGGCGACGAUCCGUAACUGGUCUGAGAGGAUGAUCAGUCACACUGGAACUGAGACACGGUCCAGACUCCUACGGGAGGCAGCAGUGGGGAAUAUUGGACAAUGGGCGAAAGCCUGAUCCAGCCAUGCCGCGUGUGUGAAGAAGGUCUUCGGAUUGUAAAGCACUUUAAGUUGGGAGGAAGGGCAGUAAGUUAAUACCUUGCUGUUUUGACGUUACCAACAGAAUAAGCACCGGCUAACUUCGUG